rnacentral:rRNA from 1 species
AUCUGGGCAGCAGAAUUCAGGAUGACGGCUCGCGUCUUGACGCGCGUCGUCGUUUGAUAUUUCUGUUGCCGGCGCAGACGUCGCGACCCGUUCGUCGUCGGUCCCUGCUCGGAGGAGCCGCGUUCGAGCUCGUUGCGGGCGCGUUUUUACGCGUUUCGCGGCGAAGGCGCGGUCAUCUGGCCGAUCGACGGACGGUACGUUCCAGUGGUGUCCGGUGUCGCCGUUUCGUACGCGCGGCAUCCGGUACCGGUCGGCGACGAAUUCUUCGGGCCUCUUUCCGACCCGUCUUGAAACACGGACCAAGGAGUCUAACAUGCACGCGAGUCGCGGGGUGUCGAGCGUACCGCGCGUGCGCUCGUUACGACGCGAAACCCGUUCACAUGUAAGGCGUAAUGAAAGUGAAGUGGGAAGAUGGUGUUCCGAGUACACGUUCCGCGAUCGUCGGUAUCGCGGCCGGACACCCGCAUUCCCGGGGCGUCUCAACGGCCCGUCGUGGUCGCGGACGGUCGUCUCUCGGGGCGGCCGUCGGUCCGCGACGAACCGA